GCACAAGCGGUGGAGCAUGUGGUUUAAUUCGAUGCAACGCGAAGAACCUUACCUGGUCUUGACAUCCACAGAACUUUCCAGAGAUGGAUUGGUGCCUUCGGGAACUGUGAGACAGGUGCUGCAUGGCUGUCGUCAGCUCGUGUUGUGAAAUGUUGGGUUAAGUCCCGCAACGAGCGCAACCCUUAUCCUUUGUUGCCAGCGGUCCGGCCGGGAACUCAAAGGAGACUGCCAGUGAUAAACUGGAGGAAGGUGGGGAUGACGUCAAGUCAUCAUGGCCCUUACGACCAGGGCUACACACGUGCUACAAUGGCGCAUACAAAGAGAAGCGACCUCGCGAGAGCAAGCGGACCUCAUAAAGUGCGUCGUAGUCCGGAUUGGAGUCUGCAACUCGACUCCAUGAAGUCGGAAUCGCUAGUAAUCGUGGAUCAGAAUGCCACGGUGAAUACGUUCCCGGGCCUUGUACACACCGCCCGUCACACCAUGGGAGUGGGUUGCAAAAGAAGUAGGUAGCUUAACCUUCGGGAGGGCGCUUACCACUUUGUGAUUCAUGACUGGGGUGAAGUCGUAACAAGGUAACCGUAGGGGAACCUGCGGUUGGAUCACCUCCUUACCUUAAAGAAGC
rnacentral:rRNA from 1 species